rnacentral:lncRNA from 1 species
CGGGCAGGAAGCUCCACCCUCACUCCAGGAAGCUCUGGCUUCGUUUGUGAAACCCGACGGGAUGAAGGGCUAGGCUCGCCUCCAGAGUAGUGUAGUUUCUCCCGCCGUGGGCACCCGGCCCCUUGCUACCCCGCAAAAUCUCGCGACCAUUUACUCUGGCCAUCCGAAGGCGCGUGCCUGGGUUGCACUCCCGUGUCCGGCCCUCGAGGUUCUUGCCUAGGGAAGACCCGAGCCCUAGGGCCGUACUUAAGCUGCCUGCGUGCAGGACCCGGGUUUUGCUUUUGCUAAUUUCCUCCCCACCCCAGCCCGGCCCCUUGCUACCCCGCAAAAUCUCGCGACCAUUUACUCUGGCCAUCCGAAGGCGCGUGCCUGGGUUGCACUCCCGUGUCCGGCCCUCGAGGUUCUUGCCUAG